rnacentral:rRNA from 1 species
GAUGAACGCUGGCGGCGUGCCUAAUACAUGCAAGUAGAACGCUGAAGGAGGAGCUUGCUCUUCUGGAUGAGUUGCGAACGGGUGAGUAACGCGUAGGUAACCUGCCUUGUAGCGGGGGAUAACUAUUGGAAACGAUAGCUAAUACCGCAUGACAACAGUUAUUGCAUGAUAACUGUUUAAAAGGGGCAACUGCUCCACUACCAGAUGGACCUGCGUUGUAUUAGCUAGUUGGUGAGGUAACGGCUCACCAAGGCGACGAUACAUAGCCGACCUGAGAGGGUGAUCGGCCACACUGGGACUGAGACACGGCCCAGACUCCUACGGGAGGCAGCAGUAGGGAAUCUUCGGCAAUGGACGGAAGUCUGACCGAGCAACGCCGCGUGAGUGAAGAAGGGUUUCGGAUCGUAAAGCUCGGUUGUAAGAGAAGAACGAGUGUGAGAGUGGAAAGUUCACACUGUGACGGUAUCUGACCAGAAAGGGACGGCUAACUACGUG